AAACAGCCAUGCAUGUACAUGCAUGUGUCUGAUUCCCUACAUAAACUGUCACAAAACGAUAAUCACUCUGACUGCAAGCAAUACACUCAGAUAAUUUCUAGUUCGAGAUUCUUUCUUUUUUUUUUUUUAAUGUUUAUUUAUUUUUGAGAGAGAGAGACAGAGUGAGAGCGGGGGAGGGGCAGAG